UACGGAGGGUGCAAGCGUUAUCCGGAUUUACUGGGUUUAAAGGGAGCGUAGGUGGGUCGAUAAGUCAGUGGUGAAAUCUUCGAGCUUAACUCGGAAACUGCCAUUGAUACUAUCGAUCUUGAAUUAUCUGGAGGUAAGCGGAAUAUGUCAUGUAGCGGUGAAAUGCUUAGAUAUGACAUAGAACACCCAUUGCGAAGGCAGCUUACUACGGAUAUAUUGACACUGAGGCUCGAAAGCGUGGGGAUCAAACAGG
rnacentral:rRNA from 1 species